GAUGAACGCUGGCGGCGCGCCUAACACAUGCAAGUCGAACGGCACCCCUCCUCGGAGGGAAGCGAGUGGCGAACGGCUGAGUAACACGUGGAGAACCUGCCCCCUCCCCCGGGAUAGCCGCCCGAAAGGACGGGUAAUACCGGAUACCCCGGGGUGCCGCAUGGCACCCCGGCUAAAGCCCCGACGGGAGGGGAUGGCUCCGCGUCCCAUCGGGUAGACGGCGGGGUGACGGCCCACCGUGCCGACAACGGGUAGCCGGGUUGCGAGACCGACCGGCCAGAUUGGGACUGAGACACGGCCCAGACUCCUACGGGAGGCAGCAGUGGGGAAUCUUGCGCAAUGGGGGGAACCCUGACGCAGCGACGCCGCGUGCGGGACGGAGGCCUUCGGGUAGUAAACCGCUUUCAGCAGGGAAGAGUCAAGACUGUACCUGAAGAAGAAGCCCCGGCUAACUACGUG
rnacentral:rRNA from 1 species